rnacentral:lncRNA from 1 species
GUGUUAUUUUGUGUCAUGUAUUUUUGUAGUAGUGAGCCUACGGGUAUUGUUGCCCAUGUUAUUUUAUGUACAUUUUGGUUUUGAAGUUCGUUGUUUGUUUAUUAUUUUAUUAAAACAACUCCAGUGAUACAGAGUUGGUUUCUCCUGCGCCUGACUUCCCUGCCACCUACACACACGGCGAUGACACUAUCCAACACAACAGUGGAACUCUUCCAAGUCCAGCCCCUGCACAAACCGCAACACCAGCCCCAACCCCUGCUGGACAUUAACCAGAAUUCCAUGGUGACCAUGAAACUACUAGUCCUAGUGAUGUGCCUGAUUGGACUUUGUUCUUCCAUUCCUGUGUCUGAGGAACAUGAUCGAGAGGAGCGCUCAGCUAGUGAUGAGAUGUUCAGGGGUAAUGGGCGUGGUUUGGGAGGGUUUUACCGCUAUCAGCCGCCACAGUACCCAUCAUACUUCCCUUAUGCCCAGCCUCCCCAAAGUAACUCCGCCCUGAUGGCCCUCCUGCCCUUCCUAUUGGCCAGACUCGCUGCCACUCCUGCCGCAACUCCUGCUGCAGCUCCCGCCCCCGCCCCAGCUCCUGCCGCAGCCACACCAGCCCCAGCAGCGGGUGGAAAAUGAGAUGGGCGACGCCAGAGGAACCAGAGAGAACUCUGACUCCCAUGUCUCCACCUUGUUUAUUUCAAAUAUGUUGAUAUUAGCUGCUGUUCAAAGCUGAUUAUUCCAUUAUCAAUAAAUGAAUUAAGUUUUAAGAUCCGUCAUUG